CCUCACAGAUGGAUCUGCAUGAAGCCAUUCAGGACAAGGAGAGAGGUAUGAGUUUCUCUUCCUCUUUUUGGCUGGAACUGCUAGGCCCCUCCAGUUUUCAACAGAAUCUUCUUCUGUUGGAGGGAUGUUUGUGACAGUGUCAGACUUCCUGUGUCCAGUGUCAGAACAGAAAGCAUCCAUUUCUGGUUUUACAUCUACACAGCAAGUUGUGGUGGGUAGUGGAUCGGGUCCUGUGACGGUCACUGUUGCAACAGCUGCAUCCUCUUUGCCUUUUUCCUCACCUUUUUGUUUUGCAGAACAAAUUCGCAUGUUGCCUUCAAUGAAGGACAGAUGUCGAGCAAUGAAUCGAUCUACUCGAAUAGGCAAGUUUUCAUGCUUGAAAAGGCCUCGUUUGAUGUUUUUGAACUCUGCUUCAACAUUAGCUGAACUUGCAGUUAUGUUGGUGCUUUGGAAGUGAGGGAUCAUUACCCCUGUCCAAAGUGGUCUGUCUGUGUUUGGUCACAUGGAUCCAGUUCUUCCAGGUCCUCACCCUCUACAUCUGGAAUGAUGACAUGCUCUUCUGCAAUUCGGGCUUUCAGGUAUUUCUUGCACUUUUCUGAUAAGAGGGGGGCUCCUGAGCUGUCAUUGCCUUCUGCUUCACUGAGAGCCACAACAGUAAUACUGCAUAGUAGUUCUCUUGCAUCAUCCAUGGAUUGGGACAUGAGAAGCUGUGCCAUUGACCUCACAAAGAAAUCUUUAAUGCGAUGAUGUUUUUUCUUCAAGCAGUCCCACUGGCAGAUCAUCUUGAUGCUGAAUGCACUUUAAUGCGAUGAUGCUGCACUUUUGCUGAAUGUUUACCAAGUAAGACACCCCAACACUCAUUGAUGUAGGUCUUUAGAUCAGGAUGAGGAGUAAAAGCCUUGACCAGAGCUCCGAGCAAAGCCAGAGAAAAGUCACUCACAACCUUUUUUGGAGCUGGCGCACCUGCACGUAUCCAUUCUGUCAGCCAAUGUGUUAUCGCAUUAACAUCAUGUCUCUCUGACAGCAUUUGCACCACUGGACACUUGAGCUCUCAUCCCCUGCCAGAACACCCUGAUAUAAGAAGAUGUGGCCAGACUUGCCAUUUGGUCUCUGUAGUUUCCUCACUACUGAGCCAGUUGCAUCAAAACUCACAGUGGGCUUUGCGCAGGGUGGCCAAAUUAGGCAGAUGGCUCGGCUCAGGAUCUCCAAAAUCCAUCAGCUUUGUUGCCUCUGAUGCCCUCCAUACAUGGGGUUCCAUUCUACCCUCACACAGCUCUUUGGCUAUCUGCACACGCAAGUUACCGGACAUCGGACGCUUGGAACAGCCAGUGUGCAGGGAGUCAUCAGUGUUCCUAAGUAAACACUUGAGCACCAUCGGACUGUUAAU